GCAUUAAUGGGGUAGUGGUAACCUGGGUCGUUGCCAUUCGAGUAUGAUUGUCAUUCUCGACCCGCCGGGGGUUCGAUUCCCUCUUAAUGCA